rnacentral:tRNA from 1 species
GGAGCCGUGCCUGAAUAAAGGGCCACUUUGAUAGAGUGCAUAAUGAGGGUUAAAGCCCCUCCGGCUCUU